ACACACUGGAAAACUGCACUAAAGAGCUACUUGCUGAGGGGCUCAUAAAAGUUCACACCUGAAGCUUGUUCUAUGUACUCUGGAAACAUGAAACAAACACGGCAGGAUGUUAAUUGCCAACUAAAGGGAAGAUCUCUCACUGAGCCCAGAUUAGGAUUCAGCUAAACUAGUUGGCCUUCACGGCCACAGGAAGCCAGUUGCAGCCUCUGCCCAUGGCUUCUCUAUCAGCUCCUGCCCCACUGCUGCCGAUGAACUGUGAUGUGGAAUGUUCUUCCCACGUUGAUCAUGGAGUUUCUUCACUGCAGCAAUCCUAAACCAGACGUCCAUGAAGACACAUUAAGACCUGGCUGUGUACAAUGCCCAUGACUUACCGGUGUGGGAGAGGACCAGAGGUGCAGGCCACCCACAUCUACAUCUUGUCAUCUCAGGGACACACAGACCCUGCCAGGCUCUCACGCGGCCACAUCAGGUUGCUCCUGGCCUGUUCCUCCUGGAGCCUCUUCCCACUGCACAGGGCAGGUGUCCAGCCUUUGGCUCAGCACUGCCCCCACCCCCACCCCCUCCAGCAAGACACAAAGAAGAGGCGCUUUGAUCCUUUAUCUGACUCACAGGCCUUGCACUCAUGCUCUACCAUUGCUGGUUGAGAGCUAAAGGGCGUGGCGUGGACAUACAAACAGACAAAAUGAAGAUGCCACAGCUGUGUGGUUCAGGGGUCAAUCAGAGUGGGCCUCAGCCCAGGGUUACAUUCAGAGCUCAGGGUAAGUGCAAAUGAAUGGAAUGUCAAACAGUGCAUGAGGGCUGCUCCCUCCCGAGUGCAGGCCUCAGAGAGGACCCAGAGCCACGGCUGCCCUCCCUUCACUGCAUCCUGCUGACCUUGGGGAACCCUUUUCCCUUCCACAGAGAGGAACUUGGUUCCAGGAGCCAGUGCUCAACUCCAGACCAGGAGUCUUUUCUCCUGCAUGUCUCACAGCCUGGAAGGGAUGAAACAGCCAAAUAAAGUGUUAAGGCAAUAAAUAAAAACUUCCCAGCUCAA